UCCCCUGGAAAGAGGGUGGAUUCUCUUGCCCAUAGAAGGCUGCAGCUGAAAGGAGGGGCUGUGGGCAGGAUUCCUGACUAAAGACCUGUUUAAUAAUCCAUUGUCACAAGAUCCUAGAUACCGUCUGUAUGUAAUAUAUCAUAUUCCUUCAGUAACACUACUUGACAGAAAAGGUUGUGAAUUUGGAAAUCACCUGGUUAAAAUUCCCUUUGAAAAUCCAGAAGACGCUGUCCUUGUGAGGGCCAUGCAACGCUCUCUAGUGGAGUUCUCAACUGUGGACUGGGAGAAAAUGCCUACCUCUGAAGAAAGACGUCUUGGCAGCCAUCCAGAAAAAAGACCUGAGAAACUGACAAUCAGAUUCCGAUAAGAGCAUCUUUGCUUUGAAAGUCGUGCCCUUUAAGAACCCAUCUUUUGCUUUUACUCUUAUUAAAUUGUUCUCAUGACUCUCAAUUAAUGACAUUUCAGACUGAAAUUUGUCUUAGAGCCUGUCAUCACUCCA